CCCUAAUCAGCCGCCUGGGCCACCUGAAGCUGGUUAGCCUUAUUACACCAGACAGACCAAAGACACAGUGGAAGCAUGCUGGUGAAAGGAAUAACUGCGAUACAUCAAGUCAUCUUUAAGCCUUCCUCAUGAGAGUAUUCUGAAGAAAAACUGUCGGCAAAAAUAAUGCGUGGGUUUCUACACAGUGCCAUCCUCAUGGAAACCAGGACUCAGCCCGCCGUUCACUGAUGAUCCCCUCAGUGGAGGUCAUGGAUACACUGGAAAAUGAAUGCUCUCAUCACUCUUCUCCCACCAACCUUCUGAACAUCAGAGUCCCCAGAAAGGAAGGAGUACGAUAGGGGGAGUGCUGACGGGGGUAUUGCCAAACUUGGUUUUAACACUGAAAUCCUGCAACUUGGAGAGAAAGAAGUUCUGUGGAAAUGCAAUAGCAGAUAGUCAUAGUGAUGGAGUUGAUAUUCUGCUGUUUUGUCUUACACUAAACUUUUCAUACUGAUUAUAGUUGCAUCCUCUUCGUUUUCGAUUUCCUUUUCAUAAUAAAUGCAUGCUUAUGUUUGCAUUUGGGAUGAGAUGUCAUCUUAUGAACGCAUUCAGUAAAUACUUUCCAGAGCAGUUGAUCAUGUAGUUUGAACUGUUAAUCCAAUUAACGCUUACUUGUCAAAACAUUUGGCUUAAUGAGACCAUAUAUAGCUAAUGUGGGCGAGAUCAUUUUGUUAUAAAUGCAUUCUACAGAUUUAUUGAAGGCCUACAGUAAAUAACUUCCAGAAGUUUGGGCUGUUAAUCCUGUUUACUUUUACUAACCAAUUGCUAAUUAUCUCCAUAUACCUGCACCAAUGAGACCCUAAUGGAACGUUUGAAAGUUAACAAAUGUUAACUGCAAAUUAAGGUCUCUCACUCUAUCCCUUUUCUUUCUUCUUUUGUUCCUUUGGUUCUUUCUUUAUUUCUCUCGCUCUUUCUAUUCUUUCGUUUUUUGCUUCUUUCUCCUUUCUUUUCCUUACUCUCUCUCCUUCUCUCUCUCUUUCACUGUCCGUCAAACCACAUAAAGGGGAUAAAGUUGUGUGGGAUGGAUAUGUGCACUUGGCUGUUGACAGCCACUUCACACCCGAUCUCUAUGUGACAGGUGCGACGUUGUGG
ensembl:lncRNA